UGAUCCUGCCAGUAGUCAUAUGCUUGUCUCAAAGAUUAAGCCAUGCAUGUCUCAGUGCAAGCCACAUUAAGGUGAAACCGCGAAUGGCUCAUUAAAUCAGUUAUGGUUCCUUAGAUCCUACCCACAUUACUUGGAUAACUGUGGUAAUUCUAGAGCUAAUACAUGCAAGCUGAGUCCCGACCAGAAAUGGAAGGGACGCUUUUAUUAGAUCAAAACCAAUCGGUCGGCUCGUCCGGUCCGUACUCCUUGGUGACUCUGAAUAACUUUGGGCUGAUCGCACGGUCCUAGUACCGGCGACGCAUCUUUCAAAUGUCUGCCUUAUCAACUGUCGAUGGUAGGUUCUGCGCCUACCAUGGUUGUAACGGGUAACGGGGAAUCAGGGUUCGAUUCCGGAGAG
rnacentral:rRNA from 1 species